rnacentral:rRNA from 1 species
AUGCGGAAGCUUAACACCUAUGUCAUCUAUGUUGUCCGGUCGAACCACUUCUCUAGAGGCUUCACUAAGCCUAUGGUAUAUAUUAGGUCGGCUAGAAGAUGUGGAGUGGGUCACAAAUAUAUUCCCUCAGCACGUCAGCUCAAGUUUGUUGCGUUGUUCUUCUUCUCUGAGCCUAUGGUUCCAUCACUGACUAGAAGCUUUAUAUGUAGCUGCCAACAUUACAGUGAAGCACAAAAUGAUGAGGUUGUUGUUGCACCCGUCAAUCCGAAAGUGAGCAAAUGUGAGAGUAAGGGCCUGUUCGGCAACUGCCCAGCUCCUGGCUUCUCUGAAUCAGCGGGCGAAGCUGGGCCAAACAGGUCAGCUCCGAGAAGCUAG